AGGUCGUUAGUCCAAGAUAAGACCUCUGAUUUCGGCUCAGAUGAUUAUGGUUUGAGUCCAUGACUGCCUU
rnacentral:tRNA from 1 species